CAGGGUUUUGGAGGAUUUUAAUAUGCAACUUGAUGGUUACUCAUGAUCUAAAGUGUACUGUAGUUUCUAUGACAUUCCAAUUUUGGCAGCGAAUUGAAAAGGAGAUUCAGCUAAUGCAUAAUGUGUGUAAUUUUUUUUUUACGUAUGAAUUUUAAGAAUAGUUUGCUUUUUUGUUUCUUUUAUAUCUUUUUUUAUGAAUAUACAAAAGAAUUUACGCAUAGAGCGGUAACUUUACAGUGUAUAUUGUUAUCUUUGGUAAUUUUUUAAAAAGAAUUCGUCAUUACAUAAUCUCAAAAUCUCAAAAUUUAUUAAAUUCACCUAACCUUUUUGCCGUUGGUAAUUAUUUAUAUAUAUUAUUAUUUAAUUUUAUCCUUUUCUAUAUAAUAAGUUAUAAAAUUAGAUUUCAUUUAAAGUUUCUAGAAGUUUUAGUACAUUUGUUUUGUACAAUCUGUACUUCUGUAAAGUAAGAUGAAUUAUCUUCAUUGUUUUUUUAUUCACCUUUUUUCAAUUUUUGGAGAGUAAUUUCACUUUUUGAUUUGCAAUUGCUAAGUUUUCGGAAAUCAAUCCUUGAGUUAAAUGAAGAAAGAUUAUCUUACAGACUUUCAUGCUUUCGAACGUAUUUCGCUCUUGUACAGCUUUCUCCAUGGUUAAUCUUUUUAAUGUGGAGAAUCCUAUCAUCUACUAUUAUAAAUGAUUCACACUUUGAAUUGUAUAUAUUAUUCAAUUUUUUACUUGAUAAACAAUUUCUCAUGUAAUCAUAUGUAAAGCAAGUUUAAAACAAGUAUAUGUAUGAUGUAUGCAUAUCCAUUCAAUUUGAAGGAUAUUUUUAUUAAAAUAAUUGCAUAAAUGUUGUUACUAAUAUAUAAUUUCAUUAAAUAUUUUUAUCAAAUUAUGUUUACUUGUAGAGCUAUAUUAAGACUGUCUAAAAGCAUGACAUGUUUUUAGAUACGAAUUGUUUUAUUUUGAGUUAUAUUUUGAUUCCAGUAGGUAUUUGUAUAUACAUGAGAUACGUAUAUAGGUUCAUCAGGUUUCAUAAAAAGUAUUUUUGUUAUAUCAAAUGACGUUCAUAUCGUAAUGGUCACUUAUAAUAUUUCCUAAUUACUGCUAAAAACUCGCAUUGGCUCAAGUGAUAACCAAAAUUGUUAUGAACUUUUUGUUAUAUAAAUUAAUAAUACGCCCAUUGUUGUAUAAAGUUUCAUACUGGUGAGUACAAAUUUUAUUUGUACAUCAAUUUUUCAAAACAACACAUACUGGUGUAUUUUAUGCACUCUAGAUUUGAAUUGCGUGUGUAACGAAAGUUUUAUCGACUUUUUGAGCUUUCUUUGCAUUAGAAAUGGCCCUUUAUUUGCUACAAGUUUGUUUUGUUUCAUGAAUUUUUUUUUAUGAUUGUGCAAUAACAAGGUGUUUUUGAGUUUUCUGCUUUAUCACUAAAAUUACGGAGUUAAAAUAUGGUGGGAAGUCUAUGGAACAGUCCCGCUUACUAUAAAAAAAACUGUCUGCUUUCAUCAGCUACUUCAUGCCAUUUACACAGUGUUUCGACUAAAGACAACACACAUCGUUGAGUCUAAAUAUUUUUUUUUUCAUUUUAGAGUCAAACGUUAAUUUCAAUUGUUAAGGAUUUAUACGUUUUUCUAAUCUGACAUUUUUGAUGACGUUCGUGAUUUAUUGUAGAAAAAUGUCUGCAGCAUUUUUUGAUCCCGACAAUAAUCAUGGUAGAAAAAUUAAUCACGUGUACUAAUCUAAUAUAUGUACACGAUCUGUAAAUUCUUUCUUCCUCUUCCGACGUACAUUUCAAAAAACUAUUAAUGCAAGACACCUGCAUUUUACAUCAACCGAGAAAACACUAUCUAGAGAAGAAAGUAUAAGUUAAGAUACUCUCCCAACAUGCCUGCUCAAGUUGUCAGUUCUAGGUACUUCCAAAUCAUGCCUGCUCAAGUUAGGUACUCCCAAAUCAUGCCUGCUCAAGUUGUCAGUUGUAGGUAAUCCCCAAUCAUGCCUGCUGAAGUUGUCAGUUCUAGGAACUCCCCAAUCAUGCCUGCUCAUGUUUAACUUCUAGAUAAUCCCCUAUCAUGUUUGAUCAAGUUUGCAGUUCUAGAUAAUCCCCUAUCAUGUUCGCUCAUGUUUUCAGUUCUAGAUAAUCCCCUAUCAUGUUUGCUCAAGUUUUUAGUUCUAGAUAAUCCCCUAUCAUGUUUGCUCUUUUUUUCAGUUCUAGAUAAUCCCCUAUCAUGUUUGCAGUUCUAGAUAAUCCCCAAUCAUGCCUGCUCAUGUUUUCACUUCUAGAUAAUCCCCUAUCAUGUUUGCUCAUGUUUUCACUUCUGGAUAAUCCCCUAUCAUGUUUGAUCAAGUUUGCAGUUCUAGAUAAUCCCCUAUCAUGUUUGCAUAUGUUUUCAGUUCUAGAUAAUCCCCUAUCAUGUUUGCUCAUGUUUUCACUUCUAGAUAAUCCCCUAUCAUGUUUGCUCAAGUUUUCAGUUACAGGUACUCCUCCAUCAUGUCUGCUUAAGUUUUCAGUUCUAGGUACUCCCCCAUAAGGUCUGCUCAACUUUGCAAUUCUAAGUACUCCCUCAACAUGUCUGCUCAAGUUUGCAGUUCUAGAUAAUCCCCCAUCAUGCCUACUCAAGUUUGCAGUUCUAGAUAAUCCCCCAUCAUGUCUGCUCAAGUUUACAGUUCUAGAUAAUCUCCCAUCAUGUUUGUUCAAGUUUGCAUUUCUAGAUAGUUAUGAAAAGCAGUUGCUACUACUUGUACACGGUGAGAUUUUUCUAAAAGCCUCAUCCUAGUCGCGCGGCAUUUUAGUAUUUUACAUGUAUUGUGGAUAUUGAUGUAAAUAACUUUACAACUAUGAAUAAAAAUUGAAAAACCUAAUUUGAAAUGUAGCAGGACUUUUUUGCGGAAAUGUGGCGUAUGGAAAUUUCUAUGUUUCUGCAGAACAAAGAAUUCAAUUAAACUGCAUGCUCAAUUGAAAACUAAAAGACAUUUUUGAAGUAACUGAAAUCAAGAACUAUUGAUUAAAAUUUUAAGAUAUAUCAAAUAAAAAUGAUUUUCUUAACACACAGCAAUAUUGUUGCUUUUGAGAGCUUUAAAUCUAAAAUGAAUUUAAUA